rnacentral:rRNA from 1 species
AGAGCGAACGCUGGCGGCAUGCUUAACACAUGCAAGUCGCACGGGCAUUUCGGUGUCAGUGGCGGACGGGUGAGUAACGCGUAGGUAUCUAUCCUUGGGUGGGGGACAACGGUUGGAAACGACUGCUAAUACCGCAUGAUAACUGAGGUUUAAAGGCGCAAGUCGCCUGGGGAGGAGCCUGCGUACGAUUAGCUAGUUGGUGGGGUAAAGGCCUACCAAGGCGACGAUCGUUAGCUGGUCUGAGAGGAUGAUCAGCCACAUUGGGACUGAGACACGGCCCAAACUCCUACGGGAGGCAGCAGUGGGGAAUAUUGGACAAUGGGCGAAAGCCUGAUCCAGCAAUGCCGCGUGUGUGAAGAAGGUCUUCGGAUUUGUAAAGCACUUUCGACAGGGACGAUGAUGACGGUACCUGUAGAAGAAGCCCCGGCUAACUUCGCGCCAGCAGCCGC